AUGAACGCUAGCGGCAGGCUUAACACAUGCAAGUCGAGGGGCAGCAUAAUGGUAGCAAUACUAUUGAUGGCGACCGGCGGACGGGUGCGUAACGCGUAUGCAACCUACCCUUUACAGGGGGAUAACACUGAGAAAUCGGUACUAAUACCCCAUAAUAUUCUGGGAGGCAUCUUUCGGAGUUGAAAGCUUUGGUGGUAAAGGAUGGGCAUGCGUUGUAUUAGCUAGUUGGUAAGGUAACGGCUUACCAAGGCGACGAUACAUAGGGGGACUGAGAGGUUAACCCCCCACAUUGGUACUGAGACACGGACCAAACUCCUACGGGAGGCAGCAGUGAGGAAUAUUGGUCAAUGGACGGAAGUCUGAACCAGCCAUGCCGCGUGCAGGAAGACGGCUCUAUGAGUUGUAAACUGCUUUUGUACGAGGGUAAACGCAGAUACGCGUAUCUGCCUGAAAGUAUCGUACGAAUAAGGAUCGGCUAACUCCGUGCCAGCAGCCGCGGUAAUACGGAGGAUCCAAGCGUUAUCCGGAUUUAUUGGGUUUAAAGGGUGCGUAGGCGGUUUAGUAAGUCAGCGGUGAAAUUUUGGUGCUUAACACCAAACGUGCCGUUGAUACUGCUGGGCUAGAGAGUAGUUGCGGUAGGCGGAAUGUAUGGUGUAGCGGUGAAAUGCUUAGAGAUCAUACAGAACACCGAUUGCGAAGGCAGCUUACCAAACUAUAUCUGACGUUGAGGCACGAAAGCGUGGGGAGCAAACAGGAUUAGAUACCCUGGUAGUCCACGCAGUAAACGAUGAUAGCUCGUUGUCGGCGAUACACAGUCGGUGACUAAGAGAAAUCGAUAAGCUAUCCACCUGGGGAGUACGUUCGCAAGAAUGAAACUCAAAGGAAUUGACGGGGGCCCGCACAAGCGGAGGAACAUGUGGUUUAAUUCGAUGAUACGCGAGGAACCUUACCCGGGUUUGAACGCAUUCGGACCGAGGUGGAAACACCUUUUCUAGCAAUAGCCGUUUGCGAGGUGCUGCAUGGUUGUCGUCAGCUCGUGCCGUGAGGUGUCGGGUUAAGUCCCAUAACGAGCGCAACCCCUACUGAUAGUUGCCAUCAGAGCGUUUGAGCGAUCAAACAAGCUGGGCACUCUAUCGGGACUGCCGGUGUAAGCCGAGAGGAAGGUGGGGAUGACGUCAAAUCAGCACGGCCCUUACGUCCGGGGCGACACACGUGUUACAAUGGUAGGUACAGAGGGCAGCCACCCAGUGAUGGGGAGCGAAUCUCGAAAGCCUAUCUCAGUUCGGAUUGGAGGCUGAAACUCGCCUCCAUGAAGUUGGAUUCGCUAGUAAUCGCGCAUCAGCCAUGGCGCGGUGAAUACGUUCCCGGGCCUUGUACACACCGCCCGUCAAGCCAUGGGAGUUGGGGGUGCCUGAAGUUCGUGACCGAAAGGAGCGACCUAGGGCAAAACCGAUGACUGGGGCU
rnacentral:rRNA from 1 species